rnacentral:rRNA from 1 species
AUUGAACGCUGGCGGCAGGCCUAACACAUGCAAGUCGAACGAGUGGCGGACGGGUGAGUAAUGUCUGGGAAACUGCCUGAUGGAGGGGGAUAACUACUGGAAACGGUAGCUAAUACCGCCUACCAUCGGAUGUGCCCAGAUGGGAUUAGCUAGUAGGGGGGGUAACGGCUCACCUAGGCGACGAUCCCUAGCUGGUCUGAUGGGAUGACCAUCCACACUGGAACGGAGACACGGUCCAGACUCCUACGGGAGUCACCAGUGGGGAAUAUUGCACGAUGGGCGCAAGCCGGAUGCAGCCAUGCCGCGUGAAUGAAGAAGGCCUUCGGGUUGUAAAGUUAUUUCGGUAGCGAGGCGUUAACUACAGAAGAAGCACCGGCUAACUCCGUGCCAGCAGCCGCGGUAAUUC